GGAUUCCCCCCCUCCCCCAAAUCUGAGUCCGUUGUUUUUGCAAAGCUUCUAUUCCGUUGGAACUUCGCUUGUAAGCUGACUUUAGUUUGGUGAGUCAGACUAUUCAUUGAAAUAGUGGCUGGGUGCCCAAGCCAAAGGCAGCAGGAUGGGGAGAGGCAGGUACAGCCACUUGCCAGUCAGAGACAACUGCUAACAAAGCUCUAGCCUCAGGGGGGAAUGUGAGUGAAUAGUUUUCUCUGACUCCACCUAAAAUUUGGGGGUCCCCCAUCCCCAUCCCAAGUCUCAAGUUUGGCCUUAGCAAGAAUUCUUAGAGCUCUCAAGCCUUUGGUGGAUGAGAAUAAAUUUGGAGAUGUCAAGAGAAGCAAGAGGAAGCAUGUAUGAUGCAUGGAAAGGAUCGCCGAACUUGGGAGUCACAAGAACGCAGUUCAAGUUUUGACUAUCUAUUAGGUACGGCAAUAAGUUGCUGACCAUACAAAGACAAAGGAUCCCAGCUCUCAAGGAACAUACGUUCUUGUGGAAGGUGGGGGGAGACAGACGACAUGGAAAAGACUCUUCUCCCCAACUGCAUUCAAGCCCAGGAUUCUUGGUUUCUUUCUCACCUUCCCUUUUUUGAGAAAUGUCUAUUCAUAGCUCCGUGUCCACUCAUCGAUCUAGUAUCCAAGCAUUCAUCCUCCCUGUACCCAGCGCCCCCUCAUACCAACUCAGUAAGCAGUAAACUGCUUUCUCACCCCUAGUCAGCACAAUUCAUUCCCCAUGAUAAACCACCACAAAUUAUUUUCUUCAAGGGAGACUUCUGGGGCUGGGCUAAGACGUGACUCCAUUGUGUGCAAAGAGAACUCCAUGGUCCUCCUGGCUUCUGAGAGCAUGCCAUCCAUGCUUGAGUUUUUCUCAAACCUGCCUCAACUUGCAUCUGCCCAUCCUUCCCUACCUCCCCCUUCCUUUUACCUUUACUGCUGUUCAUAUAGCUGUAAAGUUCAGAAGAGAAACAAGAACCCAAACUUUCCUUUUAUGAAUUUCCAAGGAAUCAAAUUUCCAUGAUCAAUAGUCCAUGGAUUUCCCAUGGUUGCAAAGAGACUAUGCCUCCUUCCUUUAUAAUUGGCUUUCAGGAUCAGUGGCAGUACAAUCAAUUUGGGAGGAGCUGAGGGGAGCUAGUGCCAUGCGG
rnacentral:lncRNA from 1 species